GUGUACAGACAUACCACCCUGAACAUACCUGAUCUCGUCUGGUCUCAGCGGCUAAGCAGGGUUGGGCCUGUUACUACUUGGAUGGGAGAAAGGAAAACUAGAAUGUAAGAU
ensembl:rRNA 5S_rRNA 5S ribosomal RNA